rnacentral:rRNA from 1 species
UACGAAGGGGGCGAGCGUUGUUCGGAUUUACUGGGCGUAAAGGGCGCGUAGGCGGCCUUGUCAGUCAGGCGUGAAAGCCCCGGGCUCAACCUGGGAACGGCGCUUGGGACGGCGAGGCUGGAGUUCGGGAGAGGAGAGUGGAAUUCCCAGUGUAGAGGUGAAAUUCGUAGAUAUUGGGAAGAACACCGGUGGCGAAGGCGGGUCUCUGGGCAACAACUGACGCUGAGGAGCGAAAGCAUGGGGAGCGAACAGG